GCUGGGUGUGGUGGCGCGCACCUGUAAUCCCAGCUACUCGGGAGGCUGAGGCAGGAGAAUCGUUUGAACCCAGGAGGCAGAGGUUGCUGUGAGCAGAGAUUGUGCCAUUGCACUCCAGCCUGGGUGACAGAGCAAGACUUUGUCUCAA
rnacentral:SRP_RNA from 1 species